rnacentral:pre_miRNA from 1 species
AAAGAAUACAGGUUUAUACUGUUUAUGUUCAACGUUUGAUUGUUCGUCUUAUUUGAAAUUUUUUUAUAAUUAGUAUUUUUAUUGUUACUAGAUGAUAAAACAUGAAUAUAAUUUAUGCGUAACUAAUUUUUUUUAUAAAUUUUUUAAGAUGGAUUGUCAAAUAUUGAAUGCAUAUAUUUAGGGUUGCAUUUAAA